CGGCGCCACAAGUGGCAAUCGCGAUUAUUGGGCCUAAAGCGUUCGUAGCAUGACAAGUUAAUCUUCUGUGAAAUCGUUUCGCUUAACGUAACGAAUGGCAGGAGACACUGCUGGUCUUGGAACCGGGAGGGGUUAGAGGUAUUCAAAGGGGACCGGUAAAAUGGGAUAAUCCUUUGAGGACCACCGAUGGCGAAGGCAUCUAACCAGAACGGAUUCGACUGUGAGGGACGAAAGCCAGGGGAGCAAACCGGAUUAGAUACCCGAGUAGUCC
rnacentral:rRNA from 1 species